UACGUAGGGGGCAAGCGUUGUCCGGAUUUAUUGGGCGUAAAGAGCGUGUAGGCGGCCGGACAGGUCAGCUGUGAAAACUCGAGGCUCAACCUCGAGACGUCGGUUGAAACCGUACGGCUAGAGUCCGGAAGAGGAGAGUGGAAUUCCCGGUGUAGCGGUGAAAUGCGCAGAUAUCGGGAAGAACACCCGUGGCGAAGGCGGCUCUCUGGGACGGUACUGACGCUGAGACGCGAAAGCGUGGGGAGCGAACAGG
rnacentral:rRNA from 1 species